CAUGGUUUAUCUUCCAAGAGUUCUUGUAAUAGCUGCUUGGUCUUCUUUUUUUUUAUAUAGUUUCCUCAUAUAUAAAAUACUAAUGAUUAUUAUGACACCCCCCAUAGAGUGGAUUGUGAUUCAUUGAGUUAACUUAAAGUCCUGUAAGUGGUUCCUGGAACAUGGUAAGUGAUCAAACAUACUACCUAUUAUUAGUUAUUAUAGACCGAGUAUUCCUUAUCUAAAAAACUUUGAACUAAAAAUGCUCCAGAUUUUGGAGUUUUCAGGUUUUGCAAUUUUUUGUACAAACUUUACUGAUUGAGCACCUCUAAGAUGAAAACUUGAAAUCUGAGAUUCAUUCAAUGCUGACAUGAUAUUUUAAAAGUUUCAGAUUUUGAAGCACUUUGGACUUAGGACUUUUGGGUUAGGGAUGCUCGACCUGUACGUGUUACUACCUCUCAAAACUCAGUUUGGAGUGCUUAUUAACUUUUGAGAGUGAUGCAUAUCAUUCUCUUUAUCUUUAGGCACUGCCUACUUAGCUUAUUCCAGAAAAAAAAAAAAAAAAAAAAAAAAACUGAAGAGAGGGGGAAAAGAAGAAAAGCAAAAAAGAAACAAGAGGGACCAGAAUAAGGUCCCUUGGUUCCAUUUGUCAGUUCUGUGCACACACUUCUGUUUGGGUGCUGCUUCCCAAUUUUCCUUAGUUUUCCUCAAGAAUAAUAAUUGUUUUUUCUCCUCUCCAUCCUAGAAUCCAAAUGUUCUUUUGCUUUUUUCCUGAAAGCAAAACUCCUAGGCUACAUCCUUCGCAACUCCAGCAAUGCGAGCAUGCUUUUGUUACCAGCAUUGGCAGCAUUUCUGUUUCGUUUGUCUCCCUGCCUGUCAGCCGCACUUGGAGCUGCUCUGCUGUCGGAGAUUGCAGGGAGCUGGCGGAUUCCAGCCACCAGGCUUCUGUUAUGAGCCAAACACAGAGAAAGGAGCCUUUCAUUUGCUCCAGCCUCACAGUCAGGUGUUAUCAUCAGGAGCCAUGUGGAUACUCCGCCGGCCAAGCAGCCACCUCUCCAGCACAUCCACAAAAGCAACGCGCUGGGAGCUGGGCUCUGCCUCCCCGUAGGGAGCUGCGUGUGAGGACCCACGUGGGGAAGGGAGG
rnacentral:lncRNA from 1 species